rnacentral:rRNA from 1 species
UACGAGGGGGGCAAGCGUUGUUCGGAAUUACUGGGCGUAAAGGGCGCGUAGGCGGCCUUCUAAGUCGAACGUGAAAUCCCCGGGCUCAACCCGGGAACUGCGUCCGAUACUGGAAGGCUUGAAUCCGGGAGAGGGAUGCGGAAUUCCAGGUGUAGCGGUGAAAUGCGCAGAUAUCAGGAAGAACACCGGUGGCGAAGGCGACUACCUGGCCUGUUCUUGACGCUGAGGCGCGAAAGCUAGGGGAGCAAACGGG